CCAUGACCACACGCUGAACGUGAGGGUUAAACUCCGCGUUUAGAUGGUCUUCGCGUAUCAGUCCUAGGGGUGUAAUGACAUCCUAGCAAUCGACGCGUACGGUUGUGGGAACAAUAUCCCGGAGACGUAUUUUGAGACACGAAGCCGGACCCUACGGGUUACAGCAGGCGCGAAAACUUCACACUGCAGGAAACUGUGAUGAGGGAACUCCAAGUGACUGCACAAUGUGUAGCCUUUUCUUGAAUCUUAAUAGUUCUUGGAAUAAGGGCUGGGAAGGACCGGUGCCAUCCGCCGCGGUAAUACCGUCAGCUCAAGUGGUCGUCGCUUUUAUUGGGCCUAAAACGUCCGUAGCCUGUUUGGUAAAUCUGUGGGUAAAUCAACGAGCUUAACUCGUUGAAUUCUGCAGAGACUGCCAGACUAGGGACCGGGAGAGGUAUGAGGUACUCUGGGGGUAGGGGUAAAAUCCUGUCAUCCUCAGAGGACCACCUGUUGCGAAGGCGUCAUACUGGAACGGAUCCGACGGUCAGGGACGAAGCCUAGGGGCACGAACCGGAUUAGAUACCCGGGUAGUCCUAGGUGUAAACGCUGUGGAUUUGGUGUGUGGGGUCCGCAAUGGGCCCCAUGUGCCGGAGUGAAGAUGUUAAAUCCACUGCCUGGGGAGUACGGUCGCAAGGCUGAAACUCAAAGGAAUUGACGG
rnacentral:rRNA from 1 species